AAGACUACACUUUCAGGGAUCAUUUCUAUAGUUUGU
rnacentral:snRNA from 1 species